AUAAUACGAAUUCCACACACCACAGAGGAAGCUCACUCACACACUACGUUAGGUUGUAGAGAUCCAGACUUAUCACACACAGGGGCAGCCAUAUCAGCGAAUUAAACGCCGACCGUUGAACCAAGCUCGACUGAGAGAGUUGAAUUCUGAAUUUGUGUGCUUUUUUUUCAGCCCAGUCGGCAAUUGGCCGCUGCUCUCGCAGCCUUUUUUUCGGCAUAGAAAAACAGACGAACGCAUAAAAAAAAAUUUGUCUACGGUUAAGGUGUUCACAGACCUCUAGUUCCGGACUGAAGUGUGGAAAGUUUGGAGCCACAUCGAUACAGAUCGAUGUGAAUCACCAUCAAAGAGGAAGUUAAUUAGCAUGCAGCUGACUUAUUCCGAUGGCCUAGCGAUACAGUACAGAUGUAUAUGGACUACGCUCGUAUACCAUCAAUCCCAGCGAUAUAUGUAUAUACCAGAACGCCAAUUGAAAUUAGCUGGAAACCACAUAUGCCAUAUGAUCUCCUUUAUCCGCACUUCUCCACCCUCUGCGAUAUUUGCCAUUACUAUUUACUUUGUUGCUGAUUGUCGCCAACCUGUUGAGCAUGUGAGCAAAUAGCGGAGAAAAUACCUAAGCAAAUAGGAGCUUCGAUGGGCUUCCUGUAAUUGCGUUAAAUAUUUGCAUACAAGCGCCGGCAAUCGAACGCAGUGGGCUGGCUGGCUGGCACGAUUUCAAUUUGCAUUUUGUGCAUCGAUCUGGCGAUUCCGACUUCGAUGUCGAUCAAUCAAUCAACCAACCGAUGAUGACCUUCACACUGGCCAUGGUGGGCAAUCGCCGAGUACUGGCGCCAGGAGUGGGCGUGGCCUAUCACCUGAUAGUGAUCCAAAUUCGCACUUUAAGGGGCGUAACCGGGAAUGGUGCUAUCGCCCCCAAUCUGACCCACAAACACUGCGGGUUGCUGUACAGUUUACUUUUAUUAUCAAAUAUAUGGACAUUUGUUUAAAACUA